rnacentral:rRNA from 1 species
GACGAACGCUGGCGGCGUGCCUAAUACAUGCAAGUCGAGCGAGCUUGCCUAGAUGAAUUUGGUGCUUGCACCAAAUGAAACUAGAUACAAGCGAGCGGCGGACGGGUGAGUAACACGUGGGUAACCUGCCCAAGAGACUGGGAUAACACCUGGAAACAGAUGCUAAUACCGGAUAAUAACACUAGACGCAUGUCUAGAGUUUAAAAGAUGGUUCUGCUAUCACUCUUGGAUGGACCUGCGGUGCAUUAGCUAGUUGGUAAGGUAACGGCUUACCAAGGCAAUGAUGCAUAGCCGAGUUGAGAGACUGAUCGGCCACAUUGGGACUGAGACACGGCCCAAACUCCUACGGGAGGCAGCAGUAGGGAAUCUUCCACAAUGGACGCAAGUCUGAUGGAGCAACGCCGCGUGAGUGAAGAAGGGUUUCGGCUCGUAAAGCUCUGUUGGUAGUGAAGAAAGAUAGAGGUAGUAACUGGCCUUUAUUUGACGGUAAUUACUUAGAAAGUCACGGCUAACUACGUGUCAGCAGCCGCGGUAAUACGUAGGUGGCAAGCGUUGUCCGGAUUUAUUGGGCGUAAAGCGAGUGCAGGCGGUUCAAUAAGUCUGAUGUGAAAGCCUUCGGCUCAACCGGAGAAUUGCAUCAGAAACUGUUGAACUUGAGUGCAGAAGAGGAGAGUGGAACUCCAUGUGUAGCGGUGGAAUGCGUAGAUAUAUGGAAGAACACCAGUGGCGAAGGCGGCUCUCUGGUCUGCAACUGACGCUGAGGCUCGAAAGCAUGGGUAGCGAACAGG